rnacentral:misc_RNA from 1 species
UACGUAGGGUGCAAGCGUUAAUCGGAAUUACUGGGCGCAAAGCGCACGUAGGCGGUUUUUUAAGUCAGAUGUGAAAGCCCCGGGCUCAACCUGGGAACUGCCUUUGUGACUGCAUAGCUAGAGUACGGAAGAAGGGGAUGGAAUUCCGUGUGUAGCAGUGAAAUGCGUAGAUAUGCGGAGGAACACCGAUGGCGAAGGCAAUCCCCUGGGCCUGCACUGACGCUCAUGCACGAAAGCGUGGGGAGCAAACAGG